UUAAGCGACUAAGCGUACACGGUGGAUGCCCUGGCAGUCAGAGGCGAUGAAGGACGUGCUAAUCUGCGAAAAGCGUCGGUAAGGUGAUAUGAACCGUUAUAACCGGCGAUGUCCGAAUGGGGAAACCCAGUGCAAUUCGUUGCACUAUCGUUAACUGAAUACAUAGGUUAACGAGGCGAACCGGGGGAACUGAAACAUCUAAGUACCCCGAGGAAAAGAAAUCAACCGAGAUUCCCCCAGUAGCGGCGAGCGAACGGGGAGCAGCCCAGAGUCUGAAUCAGCUUGUGUGUUAGUGGAACGGUCUGGAAAGUCCGACGGUACAGGGUGAUAGUCCCGUACACCAAAAUGCACAGGCUGUGAACUCGAAGAGUAGGGCGGGACACGUGGUAUCCUGUCUGAAUAUGGGGGGACCAUCCUCCAAGGCUAAAUACUCCUGACUGACCGAUAGUGAACCAGUACCGUGAGGGAAAGGCGAAAAGAACCCCGGCGAGGGGAGUGAAAAAGAACCUGAAACCGUGUACGUACAAGCAGUGGGAGCACCUUCGGGUGUGACUGCGUACCUUUUGUAUAAUGGGUCAGCGACUUAUAUUCUGUAGCAAGGUUAACCGUAUAGGGGAGCCGCAGGGAAACCGAGUCUUAACUGGGCGUUAAGUUGCAGGGUAUAGACCCGAAACCCGGUGAUCUAGCCAUGGGCAGGUUGAAGGUUGGGUAACACUAACUGGAGGACCGAACCGACUAAUGUUGAAAAAUUAGCGGAUGACUUGUGGCUGGGGGUGAAAGGCCAAUCAAACCGGGAGAUAGCUGGUUCUCCCCGAAAGCUAUUUAGGUAGCGCCUCGUGAAUUCAUCUUCGGGGGUAGAGCACUGUUUCGGCUAGGGGGUCAUCCCGACUUACCAACCCGAUGCAAACUACGAAUACCGAAGAAUGUUAUCACGGGAGACACACGGCGGGUGCUAACGUCCGUCGUGAAGAGGGAAACAACCCAGACCGCCAGCUAAGGUCCCAAAGUCAUGGUUAAGUGGGAAACGAUGUGGGAAGGCACAGACAGCCAGGAUGUUGGCUUAGAAGCAGCCAUCAUUUAAAGAAAGCGUAAUAGCUCACUGGUCGAGUCGGCCUGCGCGGAAGAUGUAACGGGGCUAAACCAUGCACCGAAGCUGCGGCAGCGACACUAUGUGUUGUUGGGUAGGGGAGCGUUCUGUAAGCCUGCGAAGGUGUGCUGUGAGGGUUGCUGGAGGUAUCAGAAGUGCGAAUGCUGACAUAAGUAACGAUAAAGCGGGUGAAAAGCCCGCUCGCCGGAAGACCAAGGGUUCCUGUCCAACGUUAAUCGGGGCAGGGUGAGUCGACCCCUAAGGCGAGGCCGAAAGGCGUAGUCGAUGGGAAACAGGUUAAUAUUCCUGUACUUGGUGUUACUGCGAAGGGGGGACGGAGAAGGCUAUGUUAGCCGGGCGACGGUUGUCCCGGUUUAAGCAUGUAGGCUGGUUGUCCAGGCAAAUCCGGAUAAUCAAGGCUGAGGUGUGAUGACGAGGCACUACGGUGCUGAAGUAACAAAUGCCCUGCUUCCAGGAAAAGCCUCUAAGCAUCAGGUAACAUCAAAUCGUACCCCAAACCGACACAGGUGGUCAGGUAGAGAAUACCAAGGCGCUUGAGAGAACUCGGGUGAAGGAACUAGGCAAAAUGGUGCCGUAACUUCGGGAGAAGGCACGCUGGUGUGUAGGUGAAGCCCCUGCGGGUGGAGCUGAGACCAGUCGAAGAUACCAGCUGGCUGCAACUGUUUAUUAAAAACACAGCACUGUGCAAACACGAAAGUGGACGUAUACGGUGUGACGCCUGCCCGGUGCCGGAAGGUUAAUUGAUGGGGUUAUCCGUAAGGAGAAGCUCUUGAUCGAAGCCCCGGUAAACGGCGGCCGUAACUAUAACGGUCCUAAGGUAGCGAAAUUCCUUGUCGGGUAAGUUCCGACCUGCACGAAUGGCGUAAUGAUGGCCAGGCUGUCUCCACCCGAGACUCAGUGAAAUUGAACUCGCUGUGAAGAUGCAGUGUACCCGCGGCAAGACGGAAAGACCCCGUGAACCUUUACUAUAGCUUGACACUGAACAUUGAGCCUUGAUGUGUAGGAUAGGUGGGAGGCUUUGAAGCGUGGACGCCAGUCUGCGUGGAGCCAACCUUGAAAUACCACCCUUUAAUGUUUGAUGUUCUAACGUUGGCCCCUGACCGGGGUUGCGGACAGUGUCUGGUGGGUAGUUUGACUGGGGCGGUCUCCUCCCAAAGCGUAACGGAGGAGCACGAAGGUUAGCUAAUCCUGGUCGGACAUCAGGAGGUUAGUGCAAUGGCAUAAGCUAGCUUGACUGCGAGCGUGACGGCGCGAGCAGGUGCGAAAGCAGGUCAUAGUGAUCCGGUGGUUCUGAAUGGAAGGGCCAUCGCUCAACGGAUAAAAGGUACUCCGGGGAUAACAGGCUGAUACCGCCCAAGAGUUCAUAUCGACGGCGGUGUUUGGCACCUCGAUGUCGGCUCAUCACAUCCUGGGGCUGAAGUAGGUCCCAAGGGUAUGGCUGUUCGCCAUUUAAAGUGGUACGCGAGCUGGGUUUAGAACGUCGUGAGACAGUUCGGUCCCUAUCUGCCGUGGGCGCUGGAGAAUUGAGGGGGGCUGCUCCUAGUACGAGAGGACCGGAGUGGACGCAUCACUGGUGUUCGGGUUGUCAUGCCAAUGGCACUGCCCGGUAGCUAAAUGCGGAAGAGAUAAGUGCUGAAAGCAUCUAAGCACGAAACUUGCCCCGAGAUGAGUUCUCCCUGAGACUUUAAGUCUCCUGAAGGAACGUUGAAGACGACGACGUUGAUAGGCCGGGUGUGUAAGCGCAGCGAUGCGUUGAGCUAACCGGUACUAAUGAACCGUGAGGCUUAACCUU
rnacentral:rRNA from 1 species